UGGUAUGGCUCAGUCGGUAGAGCGGUUCACUCGUAAUGAACAGGUCAUCGGUUCGAUUCCGAUUACC
rnacentral:tRNA from 1 species